GUGCCAGCAGCCGCGGUAAUACGGAGGAUGCAAGCGUUAUCCGGAAUUAUUGGGCGUAAAGCGUCCGCAGGUGGUGAUUCAAGUCUGCUGUCAAAGGUUGAAGCUUAACUUCAAAAAGGCAGUGGAAACUGAAUAACUAGAGGUCAGUAGGGGUAGCAGGAAUUCCCAGUGUAGCGGUGAAAUGCGUAGAGAUUGGGAAGAACAUCGGUGGCGAAAGCGUGCUACUGGGCUGAAUCUGACACUGAGGGACGAAAGCUAGGGGAGCAAAAGGGAUUAGAUACCCCUGUAGUCCUAGCCGUAAACGAUGGAAACUAGGCGUGGCUUGUAUCGACCCGAGCCGUGCCGAAGCUAACGCGUUAAGUUUCCCGCCUGGGGAGUACGCACGCAAGUGUGAAACUCAAAGAAAUUGACGGGA
rnacentral:rRNA from 1 species